CAAAACUUUAGAAGUUAUCCAUAGAAAACUGAAACGAUAUGAACGCUUUUUUUGACAUAUUUUUGUGCCUGUUGGCUGGAUUCUUCUGUUGUCUGAGCCAGAACCUUAACUCAACGUACAUUUAUUUGUGCAACCCUCCUAGUCCCAUUUGUGUGCUCUAUCAAGCCGGAAAACCAGCAGCUGGAAAUUCCUGGAGGUAAGCACAUUGAACCACAUAAUUUCGAAGGUGAACCUAUGCCGGACAACCGCUGGGAAGUGGGGCUCGGGAGAAAUGCUGUCAGCAGAAAGCGAACUUCAGAAAUUAAGAACUGCAUAAAAAAACGUACAAGUGAAUAGAGAAUUCAAAUAAAAUGACCGUCAUACGGGAAUUGUAAAAACACAAAAA
rnacentral:lncRNA from 1 species